CCAGACUCCUACGGGAGGCAGCAGUGGGGGAUAUUGCACAAUGGGGGAAACCCUGAUGCAGCGACACCGCGUGGGUGAGGAAGCGCUUCGGCGUGUAAAGCCCUAUCAGUGGGGAAGAAAAAGGACGGUACCCAAAGAAGAAGCACCGGCUAAAUACGUGCCAGCAGCCGCGGUAAUACGUAUGGUGCGAGCGUUGUCCGGAUUUACUGGGCGUGAAGGGGGCGCAGGCGGCGCGCCAAGCCCGAUGUGAAAGCCCGGGGCUCAACCCCGGGACUGCAUUGGGAACUGGCGUGCUGGAGUGCCGGAGGGGCAGGCGGAAUUCCUGGUGUAGCGGUGAAAUGCGUAGAUAUCAGGAGGAACACCGGUGGCGAAGGCGGCCUGCUGGACGGAUACUGACGCUGAGGCCCGAAAGCGUGGGGAGCGAACAGGAUUAGAUACCCCGGUA
rnacentral:rRNA from 1 species